UCCUCUGGCUAGCCAGAAGCAAGGCACCCGUUCCCAAUGGUUCACUGAAGUUAAGCAACAUUGCACGUGGUAGGUAUACGAAUGGGUGACCAUCUGGGCAAUCGCGUGCUUGCUGCU
rfam:Asian citrus Psyllid, Diaphorina citri - Florida Strain, whole genome shotgun sequence.